rnacentral:rRNA from 1 species
CUACGGGCCGCUGCAGUGAGGAAUAUUGCACAAUGGGGGGAACCCUGAUGCAGCAACGCCGCGUGGAGGAUGACGCAUUUCGGUGUGUAAACUCCUUUAUAUGUCAAGAAAAUGACGGUAGCAUAUGAAUAAGCACCGGCUAACUCCGUGCCAGCAGCCGCGGUAAUACGGAGGGUGCAAGCGUUACUCGGAAUCACUGGGCGUAAAGGACGCGUAGGCGGGUUGGAAAGUCAGGUGUGAAAUCCUACAGCUUAACUGUAGAACUGCACUUGAAACUUCUAAUCUAGAGUAUGGGAGGGGGAGAUGGAAUUAGUGGUGUAGGGGUAAAAUCCGUAGAUAUCACUAGGAAUACCUAAAGCGAAGGCGAUCUCCUGGAACAUUACUGACGCUAAGGCGUGAAAGAGUGGGGAGCAAACAGGAUUAGAUACGUGUAGUC